rnacentral:misc_RNA from 1 species
UAAAAUAUCAUAAUAACAAAAAAAUAAGCUAUUUGUCAUCAACAAUAUCAUUACUCAUCAUCACUAUCGGCCUCUCUACCAUCAUUCUGAUGAGUCCCACUGGAGUUAGGGCUGUGAACUGCGCACUCUGCAUCAUUUGUGCCAUCAUGUUUUGCAUUAUUUAUUGCAUGCGCUCCUCCAACAUCUGCUCAUAUUAUCAGUAUCUCUCCUCCAGCAUCAGCUCGCGUUAUCAGUCUUUCUCCUCCAUAACUGAUCAUUCAAUCAAUUGUGUGAUAUAGCCACUAAACUCUUGCCCGAGAAUCAAAGGUGUUGCAUCUUGAAUGUGUGUGCGACCAAUUUUGACAAUAUCUUUGAAUUCAGUAGACUUUGAAAGUAGUGUAGUGAGCAAAUUAGUGUGCAAAUUUCUCAAAUUUGGUAUUAAUCUUGAAUUUAUUUCUGUUGCAGCUGCAAUGUGCAUUACCUCUGUUACAAACCAGAUUGGGGCAAUAUAAAAACCAUAGGUGGCAAUUUCCCUACUUGUAAGCUCUUUGUCAUGUUUCAACACAUUAAAAUCAUCUUUGCGUCUGCGAAUCAAAGGCCUUCCCUCUACUUGUGGUGAAAGGUCUGCUUGUCAUGUUUCAAAACAUUAAAAUCAAUUGCAUAGUUAAAGAAAAAAAAAAUGAACCCCAUUUAUAUUUAAAUUAAUUAAGGAUAUGAUUUCAUUAAACUAAUUAACAAAGAACGCAGCAAUAAUUUUUUUAUUUGACUUCUCACCUCGAAUCGGUGCCGAGCCAAAAUACUACUAUUUCAAAAAAAUAAAAUUAAAAAUGCAAUCAUGAUGUCUCUUUAUAGUUUAUGAUAAUAAUUAUAUACUUGUUGACCAAAAUAAAAGCAUAUAUUUAUAUAUUAGGAUAUGGUUCAAUGAAAUUGGACCAUUUCUAAGUAUUGAUCCUUCAAGAUUUCAUCCAUUAAUUCUGCCUAAUCAAAACCCAUUUUAUAAGGCGAAAUGAAUUUCAAUCUACAAAAAUAAUUUCUUAGUAUAUAGUAAUUAAAAUGUUAUUUAUUAUAUUUUUUUAUUAAAAAUUUUAAUAAUCCAGAUAAUAAUUAAUAGACUACAUAAUAAAAAAAAAAUACAGCUUGAUUAAAUAACAAAUUUCAUCAAAAUCUAGUUAUUUCAAUUAUGAUUUAGUGAUUCACAAUAUAAUGUUCAGGGAUUUAUUUAGAUUCUUUUCUUUCUUACUAAAAGCUUAAUAUUUUAAAAUUUAAAUUGAAGAACGAAAAUUUCAUUCUGAUGAAAAAUUCAUGCAUUAAUCUGUCAAUAACAUGAAUUAAAAAAAUAAAUAAACAAAAUUGAUGAAAGAAGAAGGCAGCAACAUAAUCAACAAACAAUUAAUACUGAUUUGAUUCCAGUAAGAACCUACCUAUAUAUAUAAUAUAAACACUAAUGAUAAAUAAAAUUAUAAACAAAGCAAUUAGUCAGCCAUUCUCAAAGCAUGAAUUAUCAUAAAACACGUCACAAUCAUUACCAAAGAUUAUUUUUUCUUGUGCAUUGACCUUACCAUUGGCACACUCUAUACCUAGCUCCGCAGCUUCAAUUAAGAAACCAGAAAACAAAUGUAACAGCUAGAAAAAGAAAGAGAAAAGAAAAAUAAGUGUUGGAGAACCAAAGAUGAAGAAAUAAUUGUAAACAAGAACUAGCUAGCUAGUAUCCCCAUUUGUCACGCAUUUCAUGACCAUUAAUUCCACAUACUCGAUCAGAAAAAUAAAUCUUUCAAAAUUAAGCACAAAGGAGUUUGUUUGAAUUAAAAACUAGAACCAUAGAAAUCAAUUAAGGGCCAAAGAGAAGAAAUCAGAUUCAUGUAGAGCCAUUUUCAGAUCUAUCAAAAUGGAGAAGUUGGCCAUUGCAUUUGGGGCAAUCUUCAACCUGUUUUGGGACCAUGAAGUACAUGAGGCAGCUCUUGCAACCAGCGACAACAAGGACGUGGUCUUCUCUCUGCACCCGAUAAUGCUCUCUUGAAGAAGAUGAAGGAGAGGAUUCUGAUGAUGACUCUUCACUGUCAUAUGAACUGUCAUCUUCUGAGUAGAAAUCCCCACUGUAUUCUUGUGUUACCCGUGGAUCUUCUUUGGCUUUCAUUCCAUUCCUCCAGUUUAUAUAGUAAAUCUCCCCUGUCUGCAAAUACAAGCAAACCCUUAAAGAAAUAUUACAAAUCUUCCACACUGGCCAUUGAUUUCAAUAUGAAAGAAAAAAGAAGAGAACACUGAAACUUAAUGGCUAUAAUCAAGAGAAAAGAAGAUGUUUUUGUGUUGUCCAUUAAUUCAAAGGCUAUAAUACAAUUAACAACCCCAGAAAGAAAAAAUGAAAGAAAAUGGGAAUUGCUUGGUCCCCAUCAAAGUAAAGGCAACCAUAAAACUAGCUAAUCAAACCCUGCAAAUUAUUUUCUUCCCUUCAAUUUCCUUUGUUAUUUUAACACCAACAAUAAUAAAAAAGAAACAAAAUUUAUCUGGUGGUCAAAGCUGGAAAUUUCAUUUCAUCCCUUUUUCUUCCUUUAGAAGUGCAGACCAAAAAGGUUAAUUAAGAAAGGAGAAAAAUGUUACUCCAUAUUUAGGGUUUUUUUAAUACUCUAUUUUGAUCUGGUUAUUAUUAUGUGAGGCAGAAAAGGAAAGCGGAAAGCAGAAGCAUUAAAAACAAAGAGCAUUGAAGAAGAAAAGACAUAUAUUUCCUCAGAAAGUAACAAAAGAAAACAAGAGAUCUGCAUUUAUUGAAGCUAUAAGAAAAGAAAGAGGCUUUUAAAUUAUUUUUCUUUUUAAAAAAGGUACCUUUAAAUCUAG